ensembl:lincRNA
GAACUGGUCCGCGCACGCGCCGACGCCGCAGGCCCCGGCCCGCGGCCGCUGAAUGGCGGAGACUGUCCCUGCACAGCUGUGUUUCCACCUGGCCUUCAGUGCCUCGUGCCCGAGAGCGGAAAAGGGAAAUCGCGAGCGGAGCACCGGUGUGCUGGCCACGUGGGCCCCGCCGGGCCGACUCGACCGUGCUGCCGCCCGCCGCUCCAGUGCAAGGGACCUGGAAGAGAUCCCGGUGCCGCUCCGCUCCCACCAGCGAGGGAGCAGAGGCGCGGGAGGGAAGGGGCGUCCCGGGGGUCGCCAGCACGCUGGGGGCAGGGCUGGCAGCCUCCCCCACGCCCCCACGCUGGAAGCCUCGUCUUUGUAACAUCCGGUGUCCUGUAACUAGAUGGGUCCUGUCCUGCGGAGGUGGUUUCCCCUGUGAAGCCAGAGAUUCACCCAGGAGCGUGAGGGGAGCCGGGUCCUGAACCCCCAAGCCGCCCACUACCCUCUACUUUACCGGAUGGAAUUCAUCAGUAACUAGCCAGGUCUGAGGUACAGUCAGUGAAUACCUGUUUAAUGAAUGCAUGCAUAAAUGAAUGAAUGGAUGAUCCAGCUCUUCCUGGAGCAGGCGCGACUUCCACAGAAACAAAAAGAGGGCAAACGCGAGCCGUAAGCAGAAGUGAGUCUUCUUCCUAUGUGAAGGGAUGUGGGGGUGGUCCGCCCUAUCUGUCCUUGAGCACCCGCCCGGACUAGAGGGGUGGGGGUGGCUCCACCCUUAACAAGCUUAAUUCUUGAUGAGAUUAACCAUCAGAACCCAUGAGAGAACGUUAUAGCUCCAGCGCUGAAUGGGACAUCUUUGAUUCUGUGGUGAUGCGGACUUUGUGCUUCUCUGUGAGGAAACACUUUGUUCCAACGACGCAAUUUUCCUCACACUCCGGAAGUGUCCUGCACUGCCAGAAUUGCCCAGCUUCCUGGCACACCUACCAACCAGUCAUUCCCAACACUGCCCAGUAUGCAGCCUCCCGGCAGAGGGCCUGGAUGUCUUGGCAGGCUGCAGCGCCUCUGCUGGGCUUUGCCACUGCCCCAUUUUUGCUAGAGCCUCACCCUGGUGGGGCCCCACCUCUGGGAAGCCCCAGCGCCUGCAAGAUUUUUUCCUCUCGUGACAGGGAGCAGCAUGCAGAGGGCCCUUGCACAACCUGGGUCUUCUGGAAGGUGAGUGCUCUGCCCGGGGGCAGUGUGAGCUCUGCAUCCCUGCCAAGUCAGAGGCGGGACCAUCCAAAGGGCCUGUGGCUGGGGUCUGCCACACCGAGCCUUGCAGGCCUUCCAAGGGGUGGAGUGCCCUGAGGGCAGUGCUCCCUGUCUCUGUUCCAACAACUGUGAGCACUUGCUCUGUGCCAGCGCCCCUGCCAGGUGCCAGGGAGAAGGAGGGGAGGCCGAGGAGGUCCCUGUGCUCCAGGAUCUCAUGGUCCAGAGGGGAGGCUGCCCCAGGCUUGUGCUUUCUAGGUUCUGGUCCCCUGGGAUAGUGGUCACACAAACAAAGGAGAUGGACGCAACUGAGGGAGCAGGGGCCUGGGCUUGGAAAGGCUCAUCCAGGGCUCGAGUUAGGGAGGGGCCUGCAGCACCCAGGGCAAGAAUAAGACCUGUGGGCACCGAGGGAGGCUCCCGCCCAUGAGCCCAGCUUUCCUCUGUGAGAGGACUGAGGGCUGUGAAGGGGAGAGCAGAGGAGGGGUCACUGGGGAGCAGCAUCUCACCCCCAGGGGCUGCUACUUUGUCCAGCUCUGGCCUCUAUCAGUCCAUCCAAAUCCUGGCUGACAGCAGGGCCCCACCAACGAAGAGGGCAGGUCGGCCUCCACAUAUGGGCACAGAAUGUUUUGCUUUGGCAUUCCAUGCCCUGUAUGGCUCAGGGCCCAGGCAGGCAGUUCAGCAGAGGGAAUUUAGCAAGGGAACUAGUUACAGAGAUGACAUAUCUUACAGCUGCAGGAAGCCACUGUCACUCAGAGGACUGGGGACGAGCGGGGAUGAGGGUCCUCAGCAGCAUGGCAGCCAUCUGUGGGCUGUCCAGUGGAACUGGCACCACAGAGAGACCCACUGACCACCAAGGGGAAGCAGCUAGUGCUGGGGAGGCUGGGAAGCCAAGAGAGAGGGAGGGAGACAGAGAGAAGGGACAGGAGCCAGCUCUCCCCUCCGCCCAUCCUCCCAGCUCCCACUAGCGCUUCCCAGUCGGAAGCCUGUUGGCAAGACCCUGGUCAGUGUAAUUUUCCGAGGCCAGCCCGGUCCGCUCCACCAGAGAAACAGCAGAGCCGCAGUGGGAGUGGGGAAUGGGUCUGAGAGCGGGCGGGCAAGGGCAGGCUCAGCCUCUUCCGGAAGGCCCGUCAGAGUCUUCCUCCUGCCUUCUUGUAGGACAGUUUCUAACCGGAGUUCUGGUAAGCACUGGUGACAUUUCACAUUGGCUUAAGCAAUAAGGAAGAGCAAUCAUCUCACGUAGCAACAUGGCUCGGGGAAGGGAGUCUCCAGUUUCAUGUAUUCGGAGCCUCAAGAACAACGUUGAAGACCUGGAUUCUCUGGAUUCUUUUCCUGUUUUUACAGUUCCAUGCCCAGGUGUUGGCCCAGCUCUCCUCAUGGUUCCAAGAAGGCUGCCCCAGGAAGGCUUGUGGACAGAGGGAGAAGCAUCUCUUCCUCUAAGUCUCUUUUUAUCUAGGAAACCAGUUUGACCAGCAUCCUUCCCCUCGGCUCCCUGGGAGGAAUGCAUGGAUCCCUUCGCCUUCCCCCAUCCCUCCAUGGUUGACUACACCCACUAGGAUCCACUCUUUCGUGUGGAAAUGGGUUCAGGCCUCCCAUGAACAGCAUGAAGAUGCCCUCUGUUAUGGGUUACAUUAUGUCCCCUGCCCCCGAGACAGUGUGUUGAGUCCUAACCCUAGUAUUGCAGAAUGUGAAUUUAUUAGAACAUAGGGUCUUUAUGGAGGUCAUUAAGUUAAAUGAGGGCAUUAGGGUGGGCUGGUGUCCUGAUAUAAAGGGGAAAUUUGGGGCUGGGUGUAGUGGCUUACACCUAUAAUCCCAGUGCUUUGGGAGACCAAGGCAGGAGGAUUGCUUGAGGGCAGGAGUUCGAGAUACCGGGGAGACCCAGUAUCUAUUAAAAAAAAAUAAAAAACAAAAAAAUUAGUGUGUGGUGCAUGCCUGUAGUCCCAGCUACUCAGGAGGCUGAGGUGGGAGGAUCACUUGAGUCCAGGAAUUUGAGGCUGCAGUGAGCCAUGAAAAGGUGGGGGACGAUGGAGACCCACAGGGAAAACAUCUUGUGAACACGGCAGAGAUAAGGGUGACACCUCUACACACUGAGGAACUUCAAAGGCGGCCAGCAAGCCACUGGGAGCUCGGGGAAGGCACAGCGAAGAUGCUCAUCUGCUCGCUGCUCUCAGAGGGAAGCCAGCCUGCCAACCCUUGAUCUCAGACCUCUGCCCCCCGGAACUGUGAGAUGAUAGAUUUCUGUUGUUUAAGCCCCAGUUUGUGGUGCUUUGUUACAGCAGCCCUAGGGAACUAUCCACUAUCAGAACAAAAGCAGGGCUGGACUGCUAGAAGAAAGGAGAGGAGAACUGCAGAGGAUACCCGCCUUGGGGCUGAACCUGAGAUCACUCCAGGGCUCCCUGGGUUGUUUUGAAGAAUGGAGAUGGAUUUGUGCAGGGCUCACUGUAGAAGCUCAGUACAACAUGUGGCACUUACAAGGCUGCAGUCCACAGAGCUCAGUCCCCAAGGAGCGCUGCAUCCACAGACAUUCCAAACAGAAAUUCCCAUUUCUCUUGGCUUCUUUCUCAAACAUGGAAGGAGGGACUUCUCAGUGCAUCAUUAAAGAACCCUCUUCUUGGCCAGGCAUGGUGGUUCAUGCCUGUAAUCCCAGCACUUUGGGAGGCCGAGGCAGGAGGGUUGCUUGAGGCCAGGAGUUCGAGACCAGUCUGGGCAACAUAAUCGAGAUACUGCCUCUACAAAAAAUUAAAACAUUCCUUAAUGUUGAUCUGUGAGAUUUUGGUGCACCCACCACCCGAACAGUAUACACUGAAUCCAAUUUGUAGCUUUUAUCCAUCACCCCCUUCCCACCCUUUCCCCGAAGUCGACUGUGUCAUUCUUAUGCCUUUGCUUAUGUCAUUCUUAUGCCUAGCUUAGCUCCCACUUAAGAGUGAGAACAUACAAUGUUUGGCUUUCCAUUCCUGAGUUACUUCACUUAGAAUAAUAGUCUCCAAUUCCAUCUAGGUUGCUGUGAAUGUCAUUAAUUCAUUCCUUUUUACGGCUGAGUAGUAUUCCAUCCUAUAUAUAUAUACCACAAUUUCUUUAUCCACUUGUUGAUUGAUGGGCAUUUGGGCUAGUUCCAUAUUUUUCCAACUGCAAAUUGCGCUGCUAUAAACAUGUGUGUUCAAGUAUCUUUUUUGUGUAAUGAUUUCUUUUCCUUUGAGUAGAUACCUAGUAGCUGGAUCAAAUGGUAGGAUCACACUUGUAGUUCUUUAAGGAACCUCCACAGUGUUUUCUGUAGUGGUUAUAGUAGUUUACAUUCCCACCAGCAGUGUAGAAAUGUUCCCUGUUCACCAUAUCCACACCAACAUCUUUUUUUUAAAAUUUUUUUGUUAUGGCCAUUCUUGCAGGAGUUUGGAAAUAAAGAAAAAAGUGGAUUUUGGCCUGGGUGGGUGAGGAAGAACACAGAAUAACAGAAAUAGAAAAUGUCACAUAACAUCUAAACAAACAAACAAAAACCCAGGAAGAAGAAUAAAAGCUGAAAUUAAAGGGAUAGAAGAAUAGAUAAAUAAAUCCAAAAGCUGGUUCUUUGGAAAGACCAGUAAAAUAGAUAAAUCCCUUGAAAGCCUAAUUAAGGGAAAAAUAAGAUAGCAAGAGUACAAAAUAAGGGAAAGGCAAAUAAAUGGCAAACUAAUAGAAGAUAAAUUCAUAUAUAUAGAUAUAUAUAUAAAGGGGAGUUUAUUAAGUAUUAACUUACACAAUCACAAGGUCCCACAAUAGGUUGUCUGCCGGCUAAGGAGCAAGGAGAGCCAGUUCAAGUCCCAAAACAGAACUUGGAGUCCGAUGUUCGAGGCCAGGAAGCAUCCAGCACAGGAGAAAGAUGUAGGCUGGGAGGCUAAGCCAAUCUCUCUUUUUCACAUUUUUCUGCCUGUCUUAUAUUCUCUGGCAGCUGAUUAGAUGGCGCCCACCAGAUUAAGGAUGGGUCUGCCUUCCCCAGCCCACUGACUCAAUGUUACUCUCUUUUGGCAACAUCCUCACAGACACACCCAGGAUCAAUACUUUCAAUUCAAUCAAGUUGACACUCAGUAUUAACCAUCACAAUACGAUAGGAUUAUUUUCUGUAAUAACCUAUGUAAAAAUAAGCAGUCAUUAUUUUCCUGUUUUGUUCUUUAGGUGUAAAACAAACAAGAAUUUUAAAAGAAGAAACUUCAAUUUUAAAGAUAUUAUUCAAACUAAGUUAAACAUUUCAUGUAUAAAUGAAAACUAUACAUUUUGUUUGCAUGUAUCAAACAAAAAUAUUCCAUCUUGCAGUUAACAUUUCCAUUGUUGAAAUUUUCAACACCAAAACUCCAUGUUUAAUGAUGGAAUUUAACUGCUUAAACGCUGCAUCUUUGCCUUCACAAUCACAGCGAUACUGUUUCUUUCAAAUGUCAUGGGAGUUGGAGAUGUGUCUUGCUCCUGUGCUGGGCGCAAAGGUGAGGUGGUCAAUUGUUGGUCUGGGACUUUCAGUGCUGAAUUCAGAAAAGUCCUGGGUGAACUGGGACAAGUUGGCCCGCCAGCUGAAGGACUGAAAAGAAAGCUUUGGACACUUUCCCAAUGAACAUGUAGCCAAGGCUUUGUGAAUCAGAGGCCAGCCGUGGAACCAGGAGUUCUCUGAAUUAAUUUAGGUGCAGAAUAUGUUUAUGAAAGGACAACUAAUAAAAACCUGAAGUUCACAUAUGUAUUAUUAAAACACCAUCGUAACUUCAGCAAUUGUUUAGAACAAAGGGAUCUUUUUCAGGGAGGAGUAUUUUAUCAGUGCCACUGUUUAGAAUUGAUGGGCGUGAUGAUAAUAACAAGCAGAGCAACUUUUAGUCAGUUUUAUUAUUGUUUUAACAUGAUCUACAGACAAUACAU